AUGAACGCUGGCGGCGUGCCUAAUACAUGCAAGUCGAGCGAACAGAUAAGGAGCUUGCUCCUUUGACGUUAGCGGCGGGCGGGUGAGUAACACGUGGGUAACCUACCUAUAAGACUGGGAUAACUUCGGGAAACCGGAGCUAAUACCGGAUAAUAUUUCGAACCGCAUGGUUCGAUAGUGAAAGAUGGUUUUGCUAUCACUUAUAGAUGGACCCGCGCCGUAUUAGCUAGUUGGUAAGGUAACGGCUUACCAAGGCGACGAUACGUAGCCGACCUGAGAGGGUGAUCGGCCACACUGGAACUGAGACACGGUCCAGACUCCUACGGGAGGCAGCAGUAGGGAAUCUUCCGCAAUGGGCGAAAGCCUGACGGAGCAACGCCGCGUGAGUGAUGAAGGUCUUCGGAUCGUAAAACUCUGUUAUUAGGGAAGAACAUACGUGUAAGUAACUGUGCACGUCUUGACGGUACCUAAUCAGAAAGCCACGGCUAACUACGUG
rnacentral:rRNA from 1 species